rnacentral:rRNA from 1 species
AAAUUGAAGAGUUUGAUCAUGGCUCAGAUUGAACGCUGGCGGCAGGCCUAACACAUGCAAGUCGAACGGUAACAGGAAGCAGCUUGCUGCUUCGCUGACGAGUGGCGGACGGGUGAGUAAUGUCUGGGAAACUGCCUGAUGGAGGGGGAUAACUACUGGAAACGGUAGCUAAUACCGCAUAACGUCGCAAGACCAAAGAGGGGGACCUUCGGGCCUCUUGCCAUCAGAUGUGCCCAGAUGGGAUUAGCUUGUUGGUGGGGUAACGGCUCACCAAGGCGACGAUCCCUAGCUGGUCUGAGAGGAUGACCAGCCACACUGGAACUGAGACACGGUCCAGACUCCUACGGGAGGCAGCAGUGGGGAAUAUUGCACAAUGGGCGCAAGCCUGAUGCAGCCAUGCCGCGUGUAUGAAGAAGGCCUUCGGGUUGUAAAGUACUUUCAGCGGGGAGGAAGGUGUUGUGGUUAAUAACCACAGCAAUUGACGUUACCCGCAGAAGAAGCACCGGCUAACUCCGUGCCAGCAGCCGCGGUAAUACGGAGGGUGCAAGCGUUAAUCGGAAUUACUGGGCGUAAAGCGCACGCAGGCGGUCUGUUAAGUCAGAUGUGAAAUCCCCGGGCUCAACCUGGGAACUGCAUCUGAUACUGGCAGGCUUGAGUCUCGUAGAGGGGGGUAGAAUUCCAGGUGUAGCGGUGAAAUGCGUAGAGAUCUGGAGGAAUACCGGUGGCGAAGGCGGCCCCCUGGACGAAGACUGACGCUCAGGUGCGAAAGCGUGGGGAGCAAACAGGAUUAGAUACCCUGGUAGUCCACGCCGUAAACGAUGUCGACUUGGAGGUUGUGCCCUUGAGGCGUGGCUUCCGGAGCUAACGCGUUAAGUCGACCGCCUGGGGAGUACGGCCGCAAGGUUAAAACUCAAAUGAAUUGACGGGGGCCCGCACAAGCGGUGGAGCAUGUGGUUUAAUUCGAUGCAACGCGAAGAACCUUACCUGGUCUUGACAUCCACGGAAGUUUUCAGAGAUGAGAAUGUGCCUUCGGGAACCGUGAGACAGGUGCUGCAUGGCUGUCGUCAGCUCGUGUUGUGAAAUGUUGGGUUAAGUCCCGCAACGAGCGCAACCCUUAUCCUUUGUUGCCAGCGGUUAGGCCGGGAACUCAAAGGAGACUGCCAGUGAUAAACUGGAGGAAGGUGGGGAUGACGUCAAGUCAUCAUGGCCCUUACGACCAGGGCUACACACGUGCUACAAUGGCAUAUACAAAGAGAAGCGACCUCGCGAGAGCAAGCGGACCUCAUAAAGUAUGUCGUAGUCCGGAUUGGAGUCUGCAACUCGACUCCAUGAAGUCGGAAUCGCUAGUAAUCGUGGAUCAGAAUGCCACGGUGAAUACGUUCCCGGGCCUUGUACACACCGCCCGUCACACCAUGGGAGUGGGUUGCAAAAGAAGUAGGUAGCUUAACCUUCGGGAGGGCGCUUACCACUUUGUGAUUCAUGACUGGGGUGAAGUCGUAACAAGGUAACCGUAGGGGAACCUGCGGUUGGAUCACCUCCUUA